GAAACAGUCCCCCAGUCCCCUCUCACAUGUACACUGUUGACCUGUCUGUGUGUCAGCCUGACUCUCUACUGACCUCUCUCUCUGCUAGCCUGUCUGACGCCUAACCUGUCUGUCUGCAGGGUAAUCAGCUGUGAGGAGGGAAGGCUCUGGCGGAGUCAUGGAACGCUGCCUUCAUGGAGUCCUCAGCCAAGGAGAACCAGACGGCGGUAGAGGUGUUUAAGAGGACCAUCGUGGAGAUGGAGAAGAUGGAGAGAGGAGCCCCGCAGGGUCGGACAUCCUGCUCCUUGAUGUAGACCUGACCUCUGACCCUUAAGGCCUCUAACCCACUCCUGGACUCUCUACCCCCCCCCCCCCUUCCCCUCACCCAGACACUGGGACAUCCCUGCACUUGAACUGACUGGCUGCCUGCCAUAUUCCUUCUGUCAAAAAUGAUAAAAGAAAGAAAAUAACUUUGUUUUUCAUUUUUAAACAAUGUGUAAAAAAAAAGAAGAAAAAAAGAAUAUAUUUGUUGUAAUUGUUUUCCAUUCUCCAGGCUGUUGUUUUUUGGGGGAAGGGGGGGGCACUACUAUGGCACUACUAAUGCCAGCUGUGGGCCUUACCCUGUCCCUACCCUUCACAGUAGAACCUUCCAUUUUACUUUGACUGUUUUCAUUAAAGGAGCUUAUUGUUUCAGUA